rnacentral:rRNA from 1 species
UACGGAGGGGGCUAGCGUUGUUCGGAAUUACUGGGCGUAAAGCGCGCGUAGGCGGAUCUGCAAGUCGGGGGUGAAAUCCCGAGGCUCAACCUCGGAACUGCCUUCGAUACUGCGGGUCUCGAGUCCGGGAGAGGUGAGUGGAAUUCCUAGUGUAGCGGUGGAAUGCGCAGAUAUCAGGAGGAACACCGGUGGCGAAGGCGGGUCUCUGGGCAGUAACUGACGCUGAGGAGCGAAAGCGUGGGGAGCGAACAGG